rnacentral:lncRNA from 1 species
AUACCAUGUUGAAAUGGUUCAACAUAGAGAAUUUCAAGAAAGACUAUCUUCCGAUAGGUCAUAAAAUUACUCUCCAAGAAGGAUUGUCCAACAACCCCUUAGAAGAGAGAGCAUAUGAGUAGAAUAUCUAUGCUCCGAUAGUGGGAUCUAUCAUAUACACCAUGAUAUGUAUGAGGUUGGAUAUGGCCUUUUCUCUAGGGG